GAUGAAGAACGCAGCGAAAUGCGAUACUUGGUGUGAAUUGCAGAAUCCCGUGAACCAUCGAGUCUUUGAAUGCAAGUUGCGCCCGAAGCCAUUAGGCCGAGGGCACGCCUGCCUGGGCGUCACACGUCGUUGCCCCCCCCAUCUACUCCUUCGGGAUUGCGGGGGGCGGAUGAUGGCCUCCCGUGCGCCUCGCCGCGCGGUUGGCAUAAAUGCCAAGUCCUCGGCGACGCACGCCACGACAAUCGGUGGUUGCGAAACCUCGGUUGCCCGUCGUGUGCGGUCGUCGCGCAUCGAGGGCUCGAAAAAAUUGCCGAGUUCCGGCUCGGCUUUCAACGCGACCCCAGGUCAGGCGGGGUUACCCGCUGAAUUUAAGCAUAUCAAUAAGCGGAGGA
rnacentral:misc_RNA from 1 species